AUUGAACGCUGGCGGCAGGCCUAACACAUGCAAGUCGAACGAGUGGCGGAUGGGUGAGUAAUGUCUGGGAAACUGCCUGAUGGAGGGUGAUAACUACUGGAAACGGUAGCUAAUACCGCAUACCAUCGGAUGUGCCCAUAUGGGAUUAGCUAGUAGGUGGGGUAACGGCUCACCUAGGCGACGAUCCCUAGCUGGUCUGAGAGGAUGACCAGGCACACGGGAACUGAGACAGGGUCCAGACUCCUAAGGGAGGCAGCAGUGGGGAAUAUUGCACAAUGGGCGCAAGCCUGAUGCAGCCAUGCCGGGUGUAUGAAGAAGGCCUUCGGGUUGUAAAGUACUUUCAGAGGGGAGGCGUUACCAGCAGAAGAAGCACCGGCUAACUCCGUGCCAGCAGCCGCGGUAAUUC
rnacentral:rRNA from 1 species